rnacentral:rRNA from 1 species
CUGGCUCAGGAUGAACGCUGGCGGCGUGCCUAACACAUGCAAGUCGAACGGAGAUUUAACGCUGAUGAGGCUUCGGCGGAUUCUUGUUAAAUCUUAGUGGCGGACGGGUGAGUAACGCGUGGGCAACCUGCCUCAUACUGGGGGAUAACAGCUGGAAACGACUGUUAAUACCGCAUAAGCGCACAGUAUCGCAUGAUACAGUGUGAAAA